rnacentral:snRNA from 1 species
UAAUUCAACUGCCAGAGGAGAUACUAUGAUCAUGAAGANAGUGGACCCAGGGUGAAUCUUACCUAGUGCACUCCAAGUGUGCUGACCCCUACAAUUUCCCCAGAUGUGGGACACUUGACUACAUGAUUUGUGGAGUUGGGGGACAGCCAUGUUCACACUCUCCCGUA